rnacentral:misc_RNA from 1 species
UACGGAGGUGGCAAGCGUUGUCCGAUGUUAUUGGGCGUAAAGAGUUCUGUAGGCGGAACUGUAAGUUAUAAGUUAAAGCCUCCGGCUCAACCGGAGAUCUGCUUGUAAUACUGCAGUUCUAGAGUAAGGUAGGGGCUAGCGGAACGUACGGUGUAGUAGUGAAAUGCGUUGAUAUCGUACGGAACACCAAAGGCGUAGGCAGCUAGCUGGGCCUUUACUGACGCUGAGAGACGAAAGCGUGGGGAGCAAAAGGG